CGUGUAGGCGGUACCAUAAGUCAGAUGUGAAAGCCCUAGGCUUAACCUAGGAAUUGCAUUUGAGACUGUGGAACUAGAGAUCGAGAGAGGUAAGUGGAAUUACGAGUGUAGAGGUGAAAUUCGUAGAUAUUCGUAAGAACACCAGUGGCGAAGGCGACUUACUGGCUCGAUACUGACGCUAAGGCGCGAAAGCGUGGGAGCAAACA
rnacentral:rRNA from 1 species